rnacentral:rRNA from 2 species
UUGAACGCUGGCGGCAGGCCUAACACAUGCAAGUCGAGCGGAUGAGAAGAGCUUGCUCUUCGAUUCAGCGGCGGACGGGUGAGUAAUGCCUAGGAAUCUGCCUGGUAGUGGGGGACAACGUUUCGAAAGGAACGCUAAUACCGCAUACGUCCUACGGGAGAAAGCAGGGGACCUUCGGGCCUUGCGCUAUCAGAUGAGCCUAGGUCGGAUUAGCUAGUUGGUGAGGUAAUGGCUCACCAAGGCGACGAUCCGUAACUG